rnacentral:lncRNA from 1 species
CGGACCUCCGAUUCCGAUUCCGUAAAAAGCUAUACGUUCGGAAUUUCACCACUAACCCAAACACAGAUUCAAUUACAGUCUAAAUACAAUUUAUCCAAUUCAAUUCUUCAGCAUCAACAAUCCCAAUUAGGGUCAAAUUAACGGCUUAUCACUACCCAUUACAUAUUAUCCCAUAAUACCCAUUAAUCGACGAUAAACCCCCCUUACCUGAUUAAUCCGGCGAAUCUCAAGCUCCAAGCUCUUCUCUUCUCCAACCUUCU